GAACGUACGCUGGCGGCACGCCUAACACAUGCAAGUCGAACGAAGUAGCAAUACUUAGUGGCAGACGGGUGAGUAACAUGUAGGUAUCUGCCCUUUGGCCUGGAAUAACACGAGGAAACUUGUGCUAAUACCGGAUAAGUCUUUACGGAGAAAGCUUUAUGCACCAUUGGAUGAGCCUGCACUUGAUUAGUUUGUUGGUAGGGUAAUGGCCUACCAAGACUGUGAUCUAUAGCUGAUUUGAGAGGAUGAUCAGCCACAUUGGGACUGAGACACGGCCCAAACUCCUACGGGAGGCAGCAGUGGGGAAUCUUGCACAAUGGAGGAAACUCUGAUGCAGCGAUGCCGCGUGAGUGAAGAAGGCCUUUGGGUUGUAAAGCUCUUUCGUCGGGGAAGAAAAUGACUGUACCCGAAUAAGAAGGUCCGGCUAACUUCGUGCCAGCAGCCGCGGUAAUACGAAGGGACCUAGCGUAGUUCGGAAUUACUGGGCUUAAAGAGUUCGUAGGUGGUUGAAAAAGUUGGUGGUGAAAUCCCAGAGCUUAACUCUGGAACUGCCAUCAAAACUUUUCAGCUAGAGUAUGAUAGAGGAAAGCAGAAUUUCUAGUGUAGAGGUGAAAUUCGUAGAUAUUAGAAAGAAUACCAAUUGCGAAGGCAGCUUUCUGGAUCAUUACUGACACUGAGGAACGAAAGCAUGGGUAGCGAAGAGGAUUAGAUACCCUCGUAGUCCAUGCCGUAAACGAUGUGUGUUAGACGUUGGAAAUUUAUUUUCAGUGUCGCAGCGAAAGCGAUAAACACACCGCCUGGGGAGUACGACCGCAAGGUUAAAACUCAAAUGAAUUGACGGGGACCCGCACAAGUAGUGGAGCAUGUGGUUUAAUUCGAAGAUACGCGCAGAACCUUACCAACACUUGACAUGUUCGUCGCAACUUUAAGAGAUUAAAGUUUUCGGUUCGGCCGGACGAAACACAGGUGCUGCAUGGCUGUCGUCAGCUCGUGUCGUGAGAUGUUGGGUUAAGUCCCGCAACGAGCGCAACCCUCACUUUUAGUUGCCAUCAUUAAGUUGGGCACUCUGAAAGAACUGCCAGUGAUAAGCUGGAGGAAGGUGGGGAUGACGUCAAGUCCUCAUGGCCCUUACGUGUUGGGCUACACACGUGCUACAAUGGUAUUUACAACAGGAAGCAAGACUGCGAAGUUAAGCAAAUCCCUAAAAAAUACCUCAGUUCGGAUUGCACUCUGCAACUCGAGUGCAUGAGGCUGGAAUUACUAGUAAUCGUGGAUCAGCGUGCCACGGUGAAUGCGUUCCCGGGUCUUGUACACACCGC
rnacentral:rRNA from 1 species